rnacentral:rRNA from 1 species
CCUACGGGAGGCUGCAGUGAGGAAUAUUGGUCAAUGGACGAGAGUCUGAACCAGCCAAGUAGCGUGAAGGAUGACUGCCCUAUGGGUUGUAAACUUCUUUUAUAUGGGAAUAAAAUGUUCCACGUGUGGGAUUUUGUAUGUACUAUAUGAAUAAGGAUCGGCUAACUCCGUGCCAGCAGCCGCGGUAAUACGGAGGAUCCGCGCGUUAUCCGGAUUUAUUGGGUUUAAAGGGAGCGUAGGUGGAUUGUUAAGUCAGUUGUGAAAGUUUGCGGCUCAACCGUAAAAUUGCAGUUGAAACUGGAAGUCUUGAGUACAGUAGAGGUGGGCGGAAUUCGUGGUGUAGCGGUGAAAUGCUUAGAUAUCACGAAGAACUCCGAUUGCGAAGGCAGCUCACUGGACUGCAACUGACACUGAGGCUCGAAAGUGUGGGUAUCAAACAGGAUUAGAUACCCGAGUAGUC